rnacentral:rRNA from 1 species
UACGUAGGGGGCUAGCGUUGUCCGGAAUCAUUGGGCGUAAAGAGCGUGUAGGCGGCCCGGUAAGUCCGUUGUGAAAGUCGGGGGCUCAACCCUCGAAUGCCGGUGGAUACUGUCGGGCUAGAGUGCGGAAGAGGCGAGUGGAAUUCCUGGUGUAGCGGUGAAAUGCGCAGAUAUCAGGAGGAACACCGAUUGCGAAGGCAGCUCGCUGGGACGUAACCGACGCUGAGACGCGAAAGCGUGGGGAGCAAACAGG